ensembl:lncRNA
CCAAAGAGAUAUUCACUUGGGUGUAGUGAGCUCACAAGCAUCACAUGGGCUGCUUGACAUGGGGUUGCAAUUGCCCCUGUGUUUGACACAGACAGAAAGGCCUUAAGGAGCAGCGUAUCUGCUUAAAGACUGAAAGCAUCAGUGGGAGCUCUUGUCAAGUGUUCCUCUUCAAAUCUAGCCCUCAGGCCCAGCAGUGAUGUCAGACUGACAGUCUAGACAGCAGCUGUCUCACAACGAUCUGAUCCGGACAUCAGUCCUCCCUCCCCUCCUUUACACCAGUUCUAAUUUUCUCUCUGAUCUAGCCAGUCAGGAAAUAUGUUUCAGUGCAUACAGUGGUGCUUGAAAGUUUCGUCAGAUUUUCACACAAGUCUUAAAAGUAGACAAAGAUAACUCAAUUAAACAAAUGAGACAAAAAUAUUAUACUUGGUCAUUUAUUAAUUUGUGGAAAAUUAUCCAAUAUUACAUAUCUGUGAGAGGCAAAAGUAUGUGACCCUUAUAAGUUAUUUUGCAUUCUGAAGGUGAAAUUAGAGUUAGGUGUUUUGAAUCAAUGGGAUGAGUGAGUGUGAGUGAUAUCAGGUGUGAGUGAGCACCCUGAUAGGGAUCUAUCAAAGUCUGAUCUUCACAACACGUUUGUGGAAGUGUAUCAUGGCAUGAACAAUGGAGAUUGAGAGGAGAUGCUCAUCAGGCUGGAAAAGGUUACAAAACCAUCUCUAAAGAGUUUGGACUCCACCAAUCCACAGUCAGACAGAUUGUGUACAAAUGGAGGAAAUUCAAGACCAUUGUUACCCUCUCCAGGAGUGGUUGACCAACAAAGAUCACUCCAAGAGUAAGACAUGUAAUAGUCCACAAGGUCAGAAAGGAACCCAGGGUAACUUCUAAGCAACUAAAGGCCCCUCUAACAUUGGCUAAUAUUAAUGUUCAGUCCACUAUCAGAAGAACACUGAACAACAAUGGUGUGGGGUUGCAGGGUUGCAAAAAGAAAAUUACUGCUGUCCAAAACAAACACUGCUGCCUGUCUGCAUUGCUAAAGAUAAUAUGAACAAGCCAGAAGGCUAUUGGAAUUUUUUUGUGGACAGAUGAGACCAAAUUAGAACUUUUUGGUUUAAAUGAGAAGCGUUAUGUUUGGAGAAAAGAAAACAAUGGAUUCCAGUAUAAUAACCUUAUCCCAUCUACAAAACAUGGUGGUGGUAGUAUCUUGGUUUGGGCCUGUUUUGCUGCACCUGGGCCAGGAGAGCUUGACCUUCAUUGAUGGAACAAUGAAUUCUGAAUUAUACCAGUGAAUUCUAAAGGAAAAUAUCAGGACAUCUGUUCAUGAACCGAAUCUCAUGAGAAAGUGGGUCAUGCAGCAAGACAACGACCUUAAGCACCCAAGUCGUUAUACCAAAGAAUGGUUAAAGAAGAAUAAAGCUAAAGUUUUGGAAUGGCCAAGUCAAAGUCCUGACCUUAAUCCAGUAAAAAUGUUGUGAAAGGACCUGAAGCAAGCAGCACAAGGCAGGGUACACCCUGGACAGGGUGCCAGUCCAUCGCAGGGCACAAUCACAUACACACUCACACACCCAUUCAUACACUAGAGACACUUUAGACACGCCAAUCAGCCUACCAUGCAUGUCUUUGGACUGGGGGAGGAAACCGGAGCACCCAGAAGAAACCCCCACAGCACAGAGAGAACAUACAAACUCCGCACACACGGCCCCGGCGGGAAUCCAAACCCGGACCCUGGAGGUGUGAGGCGAACGUUCUAACCACUAAGCCACCGUGUGCCGUUAUGGUUACAUUUAUAUAGCACUUUUCUAGAAACUCAAAGCAUUUUACAUAGUGUGGGGGGUGGGGGUCUCCUCAACCAUCACUAGUGUGUAGCAUCCACCUGGAUGAUGCGAUGGCAGCCAUAGUAUAUGCAAAUAUUUGUGUAAUGCUGAGCACAGCUGUCUUCAGACUGUUGCUGGCCCAAAUUUAGCCUAUUACCCAAAAACACUUAAAAUUCAACAUAGAAGCAAAUACUCACAUCUCCGAACCCAGUUGGAGAUAGGAAAAAAGACACCAGCCGUGAGUGAGAAGAAGCAGGGGUCCAGAUUUAUUGGUUCCGUUCCACCACACGAGAUCCACACUGAUGAGAAUUCUCAGAAGUGAUCUGACACCCGGAGCUCAAGCUCCAGUAUUUAUGUCACGAGUUCCCCUUUAUACAGCAUGCUGUGGAGCAUGUGAGCAUGCGUGCACGAGCAGGUGUGCGAGCACCUGCUUUUCCCUUGUGGACAAUCGUGACAUUUCUACACGUGCAUUUGUUUAUGUUUCUGUUAUGUCUCC